rnacentral:rRNA from 1 species
GUGGGGAAUAUUGGCUAAUGGGCGCAAGCCUGAUCCAGCCAUGCCGCGUGAGUGAUGAAGGCCUUAGGGUUGUAAAGCUCUUUCAGUGGGGACGAUAAUGACGGUACCCACAGAAGAAGCCCCGGCUAACUUCGUGCCAGCAGCCGCGGUAAUACGAAGGGGGCUAGCGUUGUUCGGAUUUACUGGGCGUACAGCGCACGUAGGCGGAUCGUUCAGUCGGGGGUGAAAUCCUGGAGCUCAACUCAAUAACUGCCUUCGAUACUGGCGAUCUUGAGUCCGGAAGAGGUGAGGGGAACUCCUAGUGUAGAGGUGGAAUUCGUAGAUAUUAGGAAGAACACCAGUGGCGAAGGCGGCUCACUGGUCCGGUACUGACGCUGAGGUGCGAAAGCGUGGGGAGCAAACAGGAUUAGAAACCCGAGUAGUCC